CAACUACUGAAUCAAAUUGCUUAGCAUUAAUGCCGCUGAAUCGAGGAAACUGUAACGUUGUUUGCAGCCUUUAGGUGGAGCGCAGGAACCAUAGGAAUGCGAGGUCCUUGAAGGCGUGUGAAGAGUGAGUGUUUGACAUACGUUUCUCACCUGGGAGCCAACACUGGCUUUGGCAGUUUGAUACGCAACAGUUGCUUCCAUUUCCAUUGGUAAUCCCAACACUGCUGCCCGAACUGCACGCUCAGCUUCCCAGAACCGAGUUGGAUUGACACUGGCUCAAGGAGUCCCAAGGCUCAGAGUGCUCCCACAUCCUAC
ensembl:lncRNA